UGGAACGCAGUAGCUCUGUGGGCAUGGGACAUUGUGGUUGAUAACUGUGCCAUUUGCAGAAACCAUAUUAUGGAUCUAUGCAUAGAAUGUCAAGCAAACCAAGCAUCAGCUACCUCGGAAGAGUGCACAGUUGCAUGGGGCGUCUGCAAUCAUGCUUUCCACUUCCACUGCAUCUCUCGCUGGCUCAAAACUCGCCAAGUAUGUCCGCUGGACAACAGGGAAUGGGAGUUCCAAAAGUAUGGACACUAGAGUGAUGGUCACCACGCUUCUUGUUACGUCGUCAGCCUCAGUUGUUCUUGGCACUUCGGGUUUGUUUUAGCAACUUGAAAACAUCAGUAAUGUACACAAUUCUUCUAUAAUCUUAAUUUCUCCCUGUUGUAUACCAUGGAAUAAAAUCUUGCUGGAGCUUCCUGUCAAA